AAAAGUGUUAUUCAUAGAUUUUUCAGAUUUGUAAAUACUUUACAUUAAAUCACGUAUAAAAACCUCUGAUAAAUUUGAGGAAAAAUAUUCUUAAGUUUUCUAGACAAUUCGUAUUUUAUUACAGGAGAUUUUACAACAUUCGAUUGUUUAUACGGCGUUUUUCCAUUGUACGAGUUACGACAUAUCUUCCUCUGGAAAAUAAUGAUUGAGGAAAAACGCAAGAACCGUUUUAAUUUAGUUUGACAACCGUGUAAGUAACUAACGUUGCACAAAUCAAGAGUUCAAUCUGAGUUUCAAAAGUUCAUUCAGCGCUUUUGACAACUACUACUAUUGCGGUUUUAGAAACAAAUCUAAUCGUCUCUUUAAACAGCAAGAUAUUUCUUAAAUCGAGGAAUGUUUUUUGAGCUCAAGGAAUUUGGCCUAUUUUUAAUUUGUAGAGUGUUGUCUCAUCUAUACGAUCCAAGUGCGUAAUAACCUGGGCAAAGGACGAAACUGGGGAGUAUGCCAUUUAUUUCAAGCUGUCUGAAAAGUUGUACGCAGCGCUGUCGCGUCGCAAGGUUCUUGAGCUCCUCGAUGACCUCACAGCUGAAGAGCUCGUCCUCGUUGAGCAUCUCGCACGUGUUCCUGAUCCUCUCGACUUUAGCCUGGAGCAUGCUGACGAAGUUGGAGACUUGGCUGUUGGGUAGACCUCCUCGGAAUAGGGCGGAUGCCUCCUCUGUCCCACGGGGUCUCUGGACGUGGAGGCGACGAGUUCUCGGGGCUCAUUCGUGUGGUCCCCGAGGCUGCGAGAGGAGGAGGCGGGAAGGAUGGAGGUGGAGGCGGGAUGGAUGGAGGUGGAGGCGGGAUGGAUGGAGGUGGAGAUGGAGUACUGGAGGCCGCUGUCCUCCACCGUGGAGCUGUUCCCCGAGGCCUCGCCACUUCGGAGAUCGUGGUCGCCCUCGUCUAUGUACAGACCUUGACUCGAGGAAUCGUCGAGGAUCGCUGAUGGCGGCACGGAGACUUCCAUCCGUCGAGCUCGUUUUUGUCGACUGA
rnacentral:lncRNA from 1 species